rnacentral:rRNA from 1 species
UACGGGGGGAGCAAGCGUUGUUCGGGUUUACUGGGCGUAAAGGGCGCGUAGGCGGCCACCGCAAGUCAGUUGUGAAAGCUCUGGGCUUAACCCAGAAAGGUCAGCUGAUACUGCGGGGCUAGAGUGCAGAAGGGGCAACUGGAAUUCUCGGUGUAGCGGUGAAAUGCGUAGAUAUCGAGAGGAACACCUGCGGCGAAGGCGGGUUGCUGGGCUGACACUGACGCUGACAGCGCGAAAGCUAGGGGAGCGAACGGG